rnacentral:ncRNA from 1 species
AUAAAGUUUAAUUUUAACUUAUAAAUUUAUUUUUAGUUUAUUUUACAUGUAAUUUUUUGAAAAGAAUUUUUGUUUAUUUUAAAAAUAAACAAAAUAAUUUUAUUCGCAGUAAUUAAUUUUAUAUUUAUAAAAGAAAUUUUGAAUUAGUAAAUUAUUUAGUAUUAGUAAAAAUUGUGCCAGCAACUGCGGUUAUACAAUAAAUACAAAUAAAUUUUAUUUUAAAUAGUUAAUAUGAAAUGAUUAAAUGAAUUAUAAUUAAAUUUAUUAGGUUAAAUUUUAAAUUUAAAAAAUAUUUAUUAGUGUAAGUAUAUAUGAAGCUAAAAAAUUUUAUAAUUAAACUAGGAUUAGAUACCCUAUUAUAAAAAAUGUAGUAAAAAAAUAAAGAGUAGUAGUAGUUAAAUUCUUAAAACUUAAUAAAUUUGGCGGUGUUUUAAUCUAUUCAGAGGAAUUUGUUUUAUAAUUGAUAAUCCCCAUUUUAUCUUACUUAAUUUUGUUUAAUUUGUAUAUCGUCGUCAUAAGAAUUUCUUAAAAAAGAAAAAAUUUUCUUAAUUAUUUAUUAUUAAAAAUGUCAGAUCAAGGUGCAGUUUAUAGUUAAGUAAAAAUGAGUUACAAUAAAAUUAUUUAUUAUGAAUUUUGAAUUUAAAUAUUUAAAUGAAAGAGGAUUUGAUAGUAAAAUAUAUAAGAGAGUAUAUUUGAUUAUAGUUCUAAAAUAUGCACAUAUCGCCCGUCGCUCUCGUUAUUUAAAAUGAGAUAAGUCGUAACAAAGUAGAAGUACUGGAAAGUGUUUCUAGAUUACA